rnacentral:rRNA from 1 species
AAAACCAACCUACGGGAGGCAGCAGUAAGGAAUAUUGGUCAAUGGAGGCAACUCUGAACCAGCCAUGCCGCGUGCAGGAAGACGGCCCUCUGGGUUGUAAACUGCUUUUAUUCGGGAAUAAACCUACUUACGUGUAAGUAGCUGAAUGUACCGAAGGAAUAAGGAUCGGCUAACUCCGUGCCAGCAGCCGCGGUAAUACGGAGGAUCCAAGCGUUAUCCGGAUUUAUUGGGUUUAAAGGGUGCGUAGGCGGCCUGUUAAGUCAGGGGUGAAAGACGGUAGCUCAACUAUCGCAGUGCCCUUGAUACUGAUGGGCUUGAAUGGACUAGAGGUAGGCGGAAU